GCAUCUGUAGCCUAGUUGGUAAAGGAAGCACUCUUGUAUGUGACUCAGCAUUGCUGAGGCUGUGAGUUCAAAUCUCACCAGGCACA
rnacentral:tRNA from 1 species